ACUCCUACGGGAGGCAGCAGUGGGGAAUAUUGCACAAUGGGCGCAAGCCUGAUGCAGCCAUGCCGCGUGUGUGAAGAAGGCCUUCGGUUGUAAAGCACUUUCAGUCGUGAGGAAGGUAGUGUAGCUAAUAGCUGCAUUAUUUGACGUUUAGCGACAGAAGAAGCACCGGCUAACUCCGUGCCAGCAGCCGCGGUAAUACGGAGGGUGCGAGCGUUAAUCGGAAUUACUGGGCGUAAAGCGCAUGCAGGUGGUUUGUUAAGUCAGAUGUGAAAGCCCGGGGCUCAACCUCGGAAUUGCAUUUGAAACUGGCAGACUAGAGUACUGUAGAGGGGGUAGAAUUUCAGGUGUAGCGGUGAAAUGCGUAGAGAUCUGAAGGAAUACCGGUGGCGAAGGCGGCCCCCUGGACAGAUACUGACACUCAGAUGCGAAAGCGUGGGGAGCAAACAGGAUUAGAUACCCUGGUA
rnacentral:rRNA from 1 species